AUUGAACGCUGGCGGAAUGCUUUACACAUGCAAGUCGAACGGCAGCACGGACUUCGGUCUGGUGGCGAGUGGCGAACGGGUGAGUAAUACAUCGGAACGUGCCCAGUCGUGGGGGAUAACGUAGCGAAAGCUACGCUAAUACCGCAUACGAUCUACGGAUGAAAGCGGGGGAUCGCAAGACCUCGCGCGAUUGGAGCGGCCGAUGGCAGAUUAGGUAGUUGGUGGGGUAAAGGCCCACCAAGCCGACGAUCUGUAGCUGGUCUGAGAGGACGACCAGCCACACGCGGACUAGGACACGGCCCAGACUCCUACGGGGGGCAGCAGUGGGGAAUUUUGGACAAUGGGCGCAAGCCUGAUCCAGCCAUGCCGCGUGCAGGAUGAAGGCCUUCGGGUUGUAAACUGCUUUUGUACGGAACGAAAAGGUUUGGCCUAAUACGCUGAACUCAUGACGGUACCGUAAGAAUAAGCACCGGCUAACUACGUGCCAGCCGCCGCAGUAA
rnacentral:rRNA from 1 species